CAGAGUUGCAAAGCUCCCAAACCACUGUGAACAUACCCGUUACCGUUGCCUCGGCGGGUGGCCCCAGGGCGGGGCCGCCAGCCUCCCCCAGAGGGAGGUGCCCGCCGCGGGCCCCGAAACUAUGAUUCUGCUCUUGGUAUCUCUGAGUUAGCACUUCAAAAUAAGUCA
rnacentral:misc_RNA from 1 species